CACUCUGGUGGCCUAGUAGUUAGAGCGUCCGAUUUUGAUGCGGGAGGUCGCGGGUUCAAACCCGGGCCGAGUCA